GCCUCGGUAGUGUGAUGGAUCAAGCCCAGCAGACCGGAUAUCUGUAAGUGCGGGUUCGAGUCCCGCCUGAGGUU
rnacentral:tRNA from 1 species